CAAACUGAGUUUAACACAAAAAUGUUGCAGCAAAUGUUAGAGUGAAAGGAAGACGAUGGAAUUUUAGAAAAAUACAGCUUUCCUGUUGACAAUUUAGUAGAAUUGUAUGAAAUUGAAAAACUCCUUGCAGCUGAUAAGGCAGCAUUUAACAAACUUCAGUGGCUAGCAAAGGAGGCCAGACUUUAAAGGAGGCUGGGCGGAGAAUGACUUUUGCAUUAUUCACUAAUAAUCUCUGCUGUAAACUGAACUGGACUGGUAUUACCAGAAAAGAUAAUGAAAGCAUCUUUGUAAAACAAAGUCUAAAAGACUUACAAUGUCGACAUGUGCUUGAAAGAGCUGUCAAAAGAAAUCCUGCAACAUCUUCAGCCACUGAAUCGGAUUUUCAACAUGAGAUUGUGCGUUUUUUGCGCGGUGCAUCAGACCGUAAGGGUGGACGAAAAAUUCGACUAGACCAAAAAAACGAAUAGGCCAAGAAAAAACUCUUUCCAUCAUCAAAUUCAUCUAUGGCAUUAAAUAAAGAGCUAUUUUCUAGUUCAGAAG
rnacentral:lncRNA from 1 species